rnacentral:tRNA from 2 species
GAGGCUAUAGCUCAGCUGGAUUAGAGCGCCACCCUGCGGAGGUGGAGGUCGCACGUUCGAAUCGUGUUAGCCUCG